rnacentral:lncRNA from 1 species
AACUCCCACAAGGGCAAGUUUGGGAAUCUUGGGUGUGCCUAUACUCCCAGUAGGACUGAGAGCUCCAGGCCAUCCCAGAAAACUUAAGACUCUGCGUUGGCAUAGCAACAACAACAACAGUUCUAGGCCAGCUAGGGCUAUACAGUAAGACAAUGUCUCUAUAAAACAAACCAAAACCCCCAAACCCAAGACAGUAUUUUAAAAUCAUAACAUCAUCAAGCUAGCCAACAGAUCUGGGAUAUCGUGCAUACUAAGUCCCAGGAGAAAGCUCUGCCUGUGGCUCAGGACUCUGCAAGUAGGCCAGGCAGGGUGGUGCACACAGCUAGGUCAGAACACUAUGAGCAAUAUUAGCGUCUUCAACAGCCAGCCACUGCCCACCUCAGUGUGUGACUGGACAACUUUGUGACUAUAAGGGGAUGUUUGUGGAAUGUUCUAAGUGACCACCAGAGCUGUUACCAGCCCCAAGCCACGAGUGCCAUCAGACAGCACCUGAGGCUUACGGCAGAGAUCAGCCUAGGUUCCCCUCAGUCAUAGCUUUCUUUUGUUCUGAAGUUGUUAUCACACUGGAACACCAAGGUAUUUCAGGAAUGAAUCUCUAUCUGGGCGAUGGUCACUCAUAUUUGGCUCCAGAAUAAAUAUCUUAUUCUC